rnacentral:rRNA from 1 species
AUGAUGAACGCUAGCUACAGGCUUAACACAUGCAAGUCGAGGGGCAGCAUGGUCUUAGCUUGCUAAGGCCGAUGGCGACCGGCGCACGGGUGAGUAACACGUAUCCAACCUGCCGUCUACUCUUGGACAGCCUUCUGAAAGGAAGAUUAAUACAAGAUGGCAUCAUGAGUCCACAUGUUCACAUGAUUAAAGGUAUUCCGGUAGACGAUGGGGAUGCGUUCCAUUAGAUAGUAGGCGGGGUAACGGCCCACCUAGUCUUCGAUGGAUAGGGGUUCUGAGAGGAAGGUCCCCCACAUUGGAACUGAGACACGGUCCAAACUCCUACGGGAGGCAGCAGUGAGGAAUAUUGGUCAAUGGGCGAGAGCCUGAACCAGCCAAGUAGCGUGAAGGAUGACUGCCCUAUGGGUUGUAAACUUCUUUUAUAAAGGAAUAAAGUCGGGUAUGCAUACCCGUUUGCAUGUACUUUAUGAAUAAGGAUCGGCUAACUCCGUGCCAGCAGCCGCGGUAAUACGGAGGAUCCGAGCAUUAUCCGGAUUUAUUGGGUUUAAAGGGAGCGUAGAUGGAUGUUUAAGUCAGUUGUGAAAGUUUGCGGCUCAACCGUAAAAUUGCAGUUGAUACUGGAUAUCUUGAGUGCAGUUGAGGCAGGCGGAAUUCGUGGUGUAGCGGUGAAAUGCUUAGAUAUCACGAAGAACUCCGAUUGCGAAGGCAGCCUGCUAAGCUGCAACUGACAUUGAGGCUCGAAAGUGUGGGUAUCAAACAGGAUUAGAUACCCUGGUAGUCCACACGGUAAACGAUGAAUACUCGCUGUUUGCGAUAUACGGCAAGCGGCCAAGCGAAAGCGUUAAGUAUUCCACCUGGGGAGUACGCCGGCAACGGUGAAACUCAAAGGAAUUGACGGGGGCCCGCACAAGCGGAGGAACAUGUGGUUUAAUUCGAUGAUACGCGAGGAACCUUACCCGGGCUUAAAUUGCAGAUGAAUUACGGUGAAAGCCGUAAGCCGCAAGGCAUCUGUGAAGGUGCUGCAUGGUUGUCGUCAGCUCGUGCCGUGAGGUGUCGGCUUAAGUGCCAUAACGAGCGCAACCCUUGUUGUCAGUUACUAACAGGUUCCGCUGAGGACUCUGACAAGACUGCCAUCGUAAGAUGUGAGGAAGGUGGGGAUGACGUCAAAUCAGCACGGCCCUUACGUCCGGGGCUACACACGUGUUACAAUGGGGGGUACAGAGGGCCGCUACCACGCGAGUGGAUGCCAAUCCCCAAAACCUCUCUCAGUUCGGACUGGAGUCUGCAACCCGACUCCACGAAGCUGGAUUCGCUAGUAAUCGCGCAUCAGCCACGGCGCGGUGAAUACGUUCCCGGGCCUUGUACACACCGCCCGUCAAGCCAUGGGAGCCGGGGGUACCUGAAGUGCGUAACCGCGAGGAGCGCCCUAGGGUAAAACUGGUGA